AGUCACUGACAUUAGAUACCCGCGUAGUCCAGGGUGUAAACGCUGCAGACUUGGUGUUGGGAACCCUUCGGGGGUGCUCAGUGCCGGAGAGAAGUUGUUAAGUCUGCUACUUGGGGAGUACGUCCGCAAGGAUGAAACUUAAAGGAAUUGGCGGGGGAGCACCGCAACGGGAGGAGCGUGCGGUUUAAUUUGGAUUCAACACCGUAAAACUACACCAGGGAAGACUGUUACAUGAAGGCCGAGAUGAAGACUCUGCUAGAUUUUCAG
rnacentral:rRNA from 1 species